rnacentral:lncRNA from 1 species
UUAGUUCAACAGGUUCCACUUAAUAUCCUUUGCGUAACUCCCCUGUCCUUCAUGUUAAAUGAAGUAUCUGUUUUCUUUUUUUUUUCAACAGUGCAAAAUAGACACACAGACCUGCUCCUUGCUUGGGGUACCCGGUACAUACAGGCACCGUGCUUACCAUGCACUUGUGAUGCUCCUCAGUACAACAGUCUUGGAAAUACACCAUAAGUAGCAGGCAUUUUUUUUUUGUUUAGAAAACAGUGGAAUAGUAAUCUUGUCAAGCAAUUGACAACAUGUUUAACCUGUAAGUUAAUUUUAGUUUGUCUUUGGUGUUUAGAGAGAAAUACUGUGUUAAAGAUGUAUAUGUUCUCAUCAGUUGCUAUUGUUUUAGUAGCUUAAUU